rnacentral:lncRNA from 1 species
AAAAAAUGUGAUUAGCAUGAUAAUAAUUCCCGAUUGAGUGGGUGGUUAGUUGAAUAGUAUAAUCUAUUAGAUUAUUUAAUAGUGUGCAUUAGCUUUUAUUUAUUAUUUUAUUACUUAUUCUAAUAUAAUUUUUAAUAAUAAUUAAGUUAUUAAAAUUAUUACUUAAUUUGAUAAAAUAUAUUUAAUUCUAAAAAAUAAA